AGGUUGGAACCUGUGAUUAUUGAACUUGAACGACAAAGAGCUCCGGUUGUGGUGGUAUCUCACCAGGUUUCACUUCUCAUCAUGAAACUGAAGUCUCAUCCCAAAAUGGCGUUGUAUUUCAGAGUGCUAAAAUGUUGUUAUUAUGGUCUGUCUUGCAGGCAGUACUGAGAGCUUUAUAUGCAUAUUUUGCUGACAGGCCAUUGCAAGAAAUACCCCACAUAGAGGUAAUUUGAGCAUGAUGGUUGAUAAUGUAAGAUGAUUAUUUGCCUGUAGUUUUACGCAUGAAAUGGAACUGACAAAUUCUCACUCAAUGUCUUUCACAUCUAACCAGAAGAAUUAUCUGUGGUUGCAACAUAUAUAGCACAUACAUGCUUUAAUGAUAUAGUAUUUAAUUUUCUUUUAUCACAACAAUCUUUACCCUUCACAAUCAGUGAAUAGGAAUUUUAAUUAAUGCUUAAGAUGCUAAGAAGCUAUGAAUUUUGGUUUGGCAAUUUGCAGAUGCCGCUUCAUACAAUCAUAGAGAUACAAAUGGGAGUCAGUGGUGUCCAGGAGAAAAGAUAUAAGCUCAUGGAUUAAAUUUGACUGAGAAAGUUGCUUAUAUGGAAAUUCUACACAUGGUACAGUAGCAAGGUCUCCAUAUUCUUGAAUGUAUAUUUCAUUAUAGGAUCUAAUCUUAACAGGGUUAUGUGACAACAAUUUAGUAGUCUCGACUACAAAUUUGGCUGUGCUCUCUCUUUCUCAGAGAGAGAGAGAGUCGCGCACUCAGGAACCUGUGCAUAUGUACGUGCAAAUCUCUUCAAAAAUAAGUUGGUGACUUCAUCAUGUAUUACCCUGAAUCUCGAGAUUUUGUUGUCUUCUUUGAUUGUAAUCUAUCGUUAUACAACAUGCUAACUUCCAAGCAUGGAGGAACUGUAAAUUGAACAUUCGCCUGUUGUUGAUAAUUGCAUUCAUCAGGUUAUACAUUUGCUCUGCUUGAUGAAGGAAGUUGAUCAUGUAACAAUUACCUGUUCGAUUAUUUUGUGUUGUACUUAUUGGGGUUAUUGUAGAUGCAGGAUAUAGUUUGACUUAAGUUGGCCUUGCAGGCUGUCUGAAACAAGUCAGAUACUGGUAAAUUCUGACUUGGUUUUCUUUUAUGCUUAAUCUUUAAGGUGUUUAGAGCAAUGUGGAUGGGUUCUAGCGCAAUAUUUACUACAUUUAGUCCCUGUUUGUUUCUCAUUUUUUUCUCAUUAAAAUGAAAAAUAUAACUGUUAUUCAUCACAUCAAGCCCCUAUACUUGAAUUUCUAUUUCUUGUGUGAGGCCCGUAACGGCUAUAUUUUUCAUUCCAAUUUUGACAUAAAUGGGAAACAAACGGGGCCUUAAUAUCUUGGAAGGAAACUGCCUAGUUUCAUGGUAAUCCACUUUCGCUUCAUCUCCCUACGAUUUCAACUUUUUAGAGUUAACAGGGGAACGCUUGCUACUACUAACCAGCCCAUUAUGCAUAUGAUUCAACAUGCCAACUAUUAAAGAACUUAUUAGAAAUAAAUUGGCGUUAUCUAUUAAAAAUUGUGGUAGGGCAGUUUAUGAAUGUCUUCGUGGUGUACUUGAUUUUACCAAAGAUGAUGAAAACUUGAACUCUCAGGCAUUUAUGUGUUGGAGAGAUUGUUUCUUAUUUUGUGUCGAAGCAAUUUAUAAAUCACAAGUUGAAAUAGGUGAAAUCAAAGGGCAUUACUUGAAUGUUGUUGGUAUAUGCGAAGGAUUGAUCAAAAGAGACACAAAUGGGGAAAAUUUCUCUCUUGCUUAUUCCUAUGCCUAUGAGUUCAAACUAAAGCUCUUAUUUUUUGUUGUGUAAUAGUAUGAAAUAAUGGACGGUAUAAAUUUAACAAUACUUUUUCUCCAAGAUCUGUUGCAGGAAUGGGAUAUUUCGAAUGAGUCUUGAAUGAGCCUCUCGAAAGCUUGAUACAACUAAACUAAGCCCGACCCAUAAAUGGCACAGUUUGGCGGGUGUGGGUGAAUGUAGUAGGAAGUGGACCGUGGUUCGUAGGGCAUUUUGUUUUUCUUAAUUUAUAUCUUCGUUCUUUUUCUUUUGCAUUUAUAUUUGUAAUUAAAAAUAAAGGUAUAAUCAUCUUUUUGGUCAAUUUUAAUUUUUUACUAUGAUAUUAAGGAGUGUAUUUCACUCAUACUUUAGACACCA
rnacentral:lncRNA from 1 species